CAAAGGCCCCAAAGGAAGCCACGGCUAACUCUGUGCCAGCAGCCGCGGUAAUACAGAGGUGGCAAGCGUUGUUCGGUAUUAUUGGGCGUAAAGAGCACGUAGGUGGUUCUGUAAGUCAGAUGUGAAAGCCUUCUGUUCAAAGGAAGAGCGGCAUCUGAAACUACAGAUCUUGAGUGUAGGAGGGGAGAGUGGAACUUCUGGUGGAGCGGUGAAAUGCGUAGAUAUCAGAAGGAACGUCGGCGGCGAAAGCGACUCUCUGGCCUAUUACUGACACUGAGUGUGCGAAAGUUAGGGGAGCAAACGGGAUUAGAUACCCCGGUAGUCCUAACUGUAAA
rnacentral:rRNA from 1 species